UCCCUAGUGGCUUAGACGGUAAAGAAUCUGCCUGCAAUGCAAGACACCCAGGUUCAAUCCCUGGAUCGGGAG
rnacentral:tRNA from 1 species